rnacentral:rRNA from 1 species
UCCUACGGGGGGCAGCAGUGGGGAAUAUUGCACAAUGGGGGAAACCCUGAUGCAGCAACGCCGCGUGAGUGAAGAAGUAUCUCGGUACGUAAAGCUCUAUCAGCAGGGAAGAAAAUGACGGUACCUGACUAAGAAGCCCCGGCUAACUACGUGCCAGCAGCCGCGGUAAUACGUAGGGGGCAAGCGUUAUCCGGAUUUACUGGGUGUAAAGGGAGCGUAGACGGCAUGGCAAGUCUGAAGUGAAAGCCCGGGGCUCAACCGCGGGACUGCUUUGGAAACAGUUAAGCUGGAGUGCAGGAGAGGUA